AUAAUACUCCCUCCGUGCGGAAUUACUUGUCAUCAAAAUGGAUGUGUCUAGAACUAAAAUAUAUCUAGAUACAUCCAUUUCAAUGACAAGUAUUUUCGGACGGAGGGAGUAGUAG
rnacentral:pre_miRNA from 1 species